GCAAUACAAAUUUAUUAACUCGUCCCCAAUGGGGCUUUUUCAGAGAUAAUUAACAAAUAAAAUUAAUUCUAAGUUCUAAAGCAAGAAAAUUUUAAGUAGGGAAGUGCAAUAUCUCUUUUCACAUUGUACACUUUGCGAGUGUUGUAGGCAUGCGGGUGAGUACGUGUCCCUGUUCUCCCAACUUAGGUCGCCUGGAGCGGAGUGACCUAUUUUCCAUCAAGGCUUAAAAAAAAUACCUGUGAUUCCGGUUCCCGACCGACCCUAUUUUUUUCUGCCGACCCUAUUAUUUUUUUCAACGCGAUUGACCGUGCGACCCUAUUUUCUCCAGGUGGUUGCGGGCUGCUCAUACAGCGUGCCAAAAUGGCGUCUGUUGUCACACUAAUUAUUGAACCAAAUUGCCUAAAUUCGUCCAUAGGAAAUACGCAUCUCAAUAAUUAAUAAUAAAA